ACUUUGUUGCAUGCAAUGGAGCAUUGUCCUGCAUAAAAAUCAUGGUUUUCUUGAAAGAUGCAGACUUUUGCCUGUACCACUGCUUGAAGAAAGUGUCUUCUAAAAACUGGCAGUGGAUUUGGGAGUUGAUUUUAAGUCCAUCUUUAACUCGAAAAGGUCCAGCUAGCCCAUCUUUAAUAAUACCAGCCCAUACCAGUACCCAGCCUCCACCUUGCUGGUGUCUGAUUCGAAGUGGAGCUCUGUGCCCAUUACUGAUCCAGCCACGGGUCCAUCCAUCCGGUCCGUCAAGAGUCACUCUCAUCCCAUCAGUCCAUAAAACCUUUGAAAAAUCUCUCUUCAGAUAUUUCUUGGCCAAGUCUUGACGUUUCAACUUGUGUCUUGUUCAGUGGUGGUCGGGUUUCAGCCUUCCUUACCUUGGCCAUGUCUCUGAGCACUGAUCAUCUUGUACCUCUGGGCAUUCCAGGUAGGUUGCAGUUCUGGAAUAUGACAGCACCGGAGGAUAAGCGGUUCCUGGUAGCUUCAUGUUUGAGUCUUCUCAAAUCUUUGGCAGUUAAUUCGCGUCUUUUUUUCUUAACACAUUUCUUGCGACCCUGUUGACGAUUUGCAUCAAAAUGUUUGCUGGUUCUGUGAUCACGCCCAAAUAUCUAAGCAAUUUCAAGAGUGCUGCAUCCCUCUGAAAGACUUUUUACAAUUUUUGACUUUUCAGAGUCAUUUAAAUCUCUUUUUUGGCCCAUUUUCCCUGAGGAAAAGAAGCUGCCUAAUAAUUAUGCACACCUUGAUAUAGGGUUUUGAUCUCCUUAGGCCCCAGCCUCCCUCAUUACACUAAUACACAUUACCUGAUAUGCUUAUAUCCAAUAAGCAUUCAAGUUUAUACAGCUUGGAGUUGGAAAAUAUGCAUAAAAAUGAUGAUAUGAUUAAAAUAUUCACUUGCCUAAUAAUUGUGCAUACAGUGUAUUUUCUAUACUCGUAUACUCGCAUUCUCUUUCGUUACCAGCUUGGUAGUAAUGUGCUGAGCCAGAACUCAGGUCUGUGUGUGUGUGUGUGUGUGUGUGUGUGUGUGUGUGUGUGUGUGUGUGUGUGUGUGUUCAGCGUUUGAAGCAAGACCUGCAAGAGAUCACUCUGUGUUCAUGCCAGAUGUGUUUCACACAUAACUCACAGGUUUUGUUAGUUCUUUUUGACACCAAAGCCGUUCCCAGGUCCUCCAGGAAAAGCCUCCUCCUGAAUCAGUUUUUCUGGUUCCAGGAGAGAUCCACAUCCCACAGCGAGGCAGUAGAUUCACCCCUCGAACAAAACAGGCCAGACAAUGAUGAUGGAUCCUGUGGGGGGUCAGAUUCCAUCCCAUCAGAAUCAAUGACCAUUGCAAGGGCCUCCGUGGUGCUGAAGCUUCUCUUCGUGCUUUCUCUUGCUCUUCUCAUGAGAAAAUGGUCAUUAGAAUCUGCAAGUUGUGGAUUGCAGGGGUGGAGCCAGGGUUGGGGCCCCCGAAGAUCAAAAGGCCAGAUAGCAGGUUUAUAAACACCUCCAGACAUAACAGCUCACUUUUGUUUUUGUUUAUUUUUUUCCACCUCUCUGUACUUCUGAGAGCUGAAGAACAUAGUUUACUUUUGUGGCCAGGUCAGUGCUGGGUCAUGACCUGCAGGCUCCUCCCCUCUCUCUCUCACAUGCACACACUCACAUGCACGCAUGCACACACGCACGCACGCAAACACCCAUUUUUUGGGGCUUCCGAUUUUGUCUGGCCUGUUUGGAAAC